UACGGGGGGGGCAAGCGUUGUUCGGAAUUACUGGGCGUAAAGGGCUCGUAGGCGGCCAACUAAGUCAGACGUGAAAUCCCUCGCUUAACCGGGGAACUGCGCCUGAUACUGGAUGGCUAGAGGUUGGGAGAGGGAUGCGGAAUUCCAGGUGUAGCGGUGAAAUGCGUAGAUAUCUGGAGGAACACCGGUGGCGAAGGCGGCAUCCUGGACCGGCAUUGACGCUGAGGAGCGAAAGCCAGGGGAGCAAACGGG
rnacentral:rRNA from 1 species